UUCAAAGCAUUUAGGAGCUUAUACAAAUACAUAAACAUGGCACACCCUUACCUCGCUGCCAAGCCUUAGAAGCUGGAUUUACCCAGGAGAAUGGGCUCUUACCUAAUCUCACUGCUCAGGGAGCUGUUGGCUGCCUCAAUAAAGCUGAGAUUCAGUUCUAGGUAAAACAGCAAAACCACAGACUCCCAUUAGCAUCUUCCCCACUACCUCACCCUAGUACUGCUGAGAUCUGGCUUUCGACCAAUAUUGCAAUGGGAAUACGUUUGCUUCACCAAGGAAAUCAAGCAUUCCCUUCUACAAGGCUCAACUUGCCGAAGUAUUAAAAUGCAAGAGAUUUUUGAAAAUAAUUAUCUAUCUUUAUUACAACACAAACUUUAUAGGUCUUAAUACUGCAACCCAGACCAGACAUUCUCACCUACAUCAUACUUGCUGUUUAAGUAUGUGUCAAACGCCCAUUCAAACUCAAUGCCAGCUAAACAUCCACAUGGAACUCUGCUUCGACAGGCACCCAAAAACACCAUAAAAAAAAUCUCGCUCCUUUCUUCAGAUGUCUCUUCCCAGGAUUUUUCUGUGGAAGUCUCCCAACUUCUUCAGAAGUAUUUUUCCUUAGUGAUAGUUUCUGGGUUUUGUUUCAUAAGAAAAAUUUUUGACUGGUCACUCAGUGGCACAAGAGUACAAUACUGUUAGAAAACAAACUUGGAUCGAUAUGGAAUACAGUUAGAGAAAACCAUACGAAUGGCACUGCAUUGUUUUUAUUUUAAGCCUCUUUACACAACGAAAGAUGUUGGAAUGCAGGUUCUUAUACAUUUUACACAAGAUACAUUGACAACAUCACUUACUUGAUUUGCAUUAUAAAACUGUUUCUGAAGGUUUUCCACUUAUCCCUACUUACACAAACUUUUACAAUGGGGUAGAAAUUAAACAAUUAACAAAAUAUAAACACCACAGAAUCCAAAAUGGACUUCUGGAAAUUUUAAAAUACACAGGCCUCAUGGACAAUACAAGAUUUUUUUUUCUCCCUUUUUUGUACUGUAGAACAGUGACACAAAAGUCAGACUUUAAGUGAUUUUAAUACCUGAAGAGAUACAUAAAUAUCAUGCCUUUGGAGGCAAGAUGAACAAAAACAUUUUCCUGCCUUUUUAAUACAUACUAUUCCUACCUCUGGAACAAGGACCUGCCUGCAGGAUCCCAUUUUGCAACUCGAAGCUGGUGGCAGGAAGGGAUCACAAGCUGGCACAAUAUGGGGUUGAAAACUACUGCGCCUAUGCAAAUUCGUGACCAUUGCUUUUUCUCUCCGCUGUCAAUCAAGUGAAAAUACUUUUGAAAGUUCAAUAAACACUUCAUAUAGCAUUAAAAUACAAUAAAAUGAAUUGAAAAAGGCCAAUUUCUGAAUGAUUUAUAUAUAUAUAUAUAUGAAUAUAAGCAGCCUGGCUUGUUCAGAAAAUUGUAAUCUUUUUAUAGAAAAAGAAUCUGGGUAGACUAAAAAAGGUUGAUUAUAAAAUAGCAUAAAAGCAUAGGAGCAUGUGUCAUUAUACUGAGGCAUAUUUUCCUCCUACUAAAACACUUAACGUGAGUUUACAAAAUUAAAGAUCUGUAUUUUAAAAGAUGCAUCCUGGUCUCAAAAUUAGUGGAUGCUUUAUCAGACAUACAGGAUGCUACACAGAAAAACUCUUAAUGAAAAACAGCAAAUAAGGGCUCAAACUGCAUAAAAGCUGGCUAAGCCAGGCAACUGACUGUCUUAAAAAAAAAAAAAGA